UACGAAGGGGGCUAGCGUUGCUCGGAAUCACUGGGCGUAAAGGGUGCGUAGGCGGGUCUUUAAGUCAGGGGUGAAAUCCUGGAGCUCAACUCCAGAACUGCCUUUGAUACUGAAGAUCUUGAGUUCGGGAGAGUGAGUGGAACUGCGAGUGUAGAGGUGAAAUUCGUAGAUAUUCGCAAGAACACCAGUGGCGAAGGCGGCUCACUGGCCCGAUACUGACGCUGAGGCACGAAAGCGUGGGGAGCAAACAGG
rnacentral:rRNA from 1 species